UAAAUAUCAAGUGGCUGGAUAAAAUAUUCGAAAGUAAACAACUAGGAGCUAGAUAGUUUUAUCUUCGUGCCUUUCGAAGCUGCGUGUUUCGGAUAAACUGGAUAACGCUUUAUUCCUUAAAAAAAAAAAAAAAAAUGAAUAUGCAAAAUGUGAAUUCAUCUUGGUAUCGAUGUUUCCGACAAUACAUAUAAAAAAGAAGAAACAAACGGACACAAAUUUCAGUCCACGUUUUAUACGAUAUCUGUCGUAAGUGGAGCAACCAGUACCUAUUUCCUGUUCCCAACGAAGAUACACAGCAGAGUAGCACGCUCGUUAAAAGUAACAAGUAAAAAUUCCGCAAUAAUGCUUGGAAACGAGAAUGUAUCUCUAAUUUCAAAUUCUAGUUCUACAUCAUCGAUUAAUAAGAGACAAGAGGAGGGUUAAACUUUUAUGAAAGGAACUGUAAACCAGAAUAUCGUCUCAUAAACCACGCAGAAUGUUGGUAAUUCGAAUGUUUAAAAUUAAAUUAAAGCGACGAUAAUUUUUUUUCUGCGAAAAAUAAAGAUAUAAUAUUCAUGAAGCAGGAGAAGAUAUUUGAAAUAUAUAUCGAUCAAAGAAUAAGAAUUAGUCUGGAGACACUCUGUCAUCGAAUACAGGAUACAGUUAUAAUUUCUCCGGAAGAGGAGGACUGCUCGGAUCGCGGCGUUCGCGAUGGCCACUUCCGUUUGGCAAAUAUCAACGUAGUUUCGCUUGUUUGCACGGUUUUCGGUUCGUUACCAGGCGAGAUUAUCCGCGACAUUAUUCAGGAUGUAGACAUUAGAUAGAAUAUCCAAGGAACGCGUCCUUGUUUGCCGCAUGAAUUUUCCGACUGAUCCCUCGCUCUCUUUUUACAUAUCGACGAUUCGUUUCAUGAUAAAUUGACCAAUUCGGUCGUACAACGAGAAUUUUUCAAUUUUUCGAAUUGGGAAAUUACAUUUUUAAAUUAAAGCGAUCAGUAGCGAGGGGUUCGAGCGCAUCGCGAGUCCAAGUUCAAAUAUUGACAGACACGAAUAUUUUUUGAAACAAAGGGAAAGUAUUUUUUUUUUUAAAAUAGAUUUAACUGGAACAAAUUUUAUAUCCUUAGUCAUUCUUAACCUUUCAUUCGAGUAACAAAAUUUCCGAAAAUAAUCAACUCUGUUGUCAAUCAUUCAUUCGUAGAUAAUUACAGUUCGCUUGGAACAUUAAAAAUAAAAUUUCGUACAAUUCUAUCGUACAUAAUGUUUGAGAUUGCAUUCCCAAUUAUUCCAAAUUUUCGUUUGUAGUGCAAACACGACUGCCGUUACACCAGUUUUCGAAGCAACGAGACGUCGUGACGAGAGGAAUCGUCGCAAUCUCGGCCGAAACCGAAAUCGAAAUCCCUUCGUCCCCUUCGUGGUCCGGAUGCCGAUCUCGGCUUAACCUUCGACGGGAACUGCAUACGAGCGGAUACGCGUCGUAGUUCACGUUCCGGGACCGUGUUAUUACCGUUAACGAUGCCACGAAAACACAACCGAGCUCGUAAACGGGCGCCUCGUCGUCGUUAGCAACGCCUCAUAAAACGAGGAUCGUGAGUCCUCGUUAAUGCCCAAUACUUAUGCCCUUUGGUAUCAAUAGGGGAGGGGGGGAGAGAGAGAAAGGCUACUGUCUAUCACUCUUGGCGAGAGGAAAUUCGUUAUUCUUGGCGAUAUGAUUUCGUGCAGGACGAUUCUUUUAUUUUCAUGGAUUGGUAAAGUUUUUGUUAUAAUAUAUGGAGGUAAAGUUCGUGGAAAAAAUAUGGUAGAUGUGUUAUGUGUAUGAGUAAUGGUUUGAAGCAGUGGGUCGAUGUUGCGUUGACAAACAUUGCUAUAAAUUAUCUCAUUGACUGUUUAAUUUAUUUCUCUCUCUCUCUCUUUCUCUCGUGUGUCUAUAUUAUACACGAAGUUGUUUUAAUGAAUGUAUUUCGACAUUUCUUCUCGGAAAAAACACGCAUUUCGUUCGACGAAAUGAAAGUUGUUCAAAGAUUCGAAUAAUGUCUUAUUUUAAUAUCAAUUUUGUAUCGAUCUGAAUAGAAUUCUAUCGAUUAAACGGAAUUUUUUUUCUUUGUUAAA